UGGUAUUCUGGCAUUCAGAGACAGAGCUGCUGUGCUCUGUGGAGCCAAGGAAUGCUGGCUAACUGCCAUGAAAAAUGUCCUCCACAUUGGUCUUGGAACCUCUCUGUGGUGUUCUGCAGACUCCUUUCUUGACCUUUGGAACAUAAUAGACUCUGAGCUGGUGACAUCGCUGAACUCAGAGGAUAUGUGAUCCUUGAAAAAUUCCCUGAUAUCUUUCAUUUUACCAUUUACUUUUGAACGCAGACAAUAAAUGAUGAUCAUUUUUUUUCUGGUA